UAUUCUGUUACUCUUAUGGGGUUAUUUCUGUCCACUGCAACGAGGGUCAAGUUGACCGUGGUGUCAGAUUGGCCACUGAAACAAAUACGCUGCUGCAGCUGUGUAAACAUGGACUUUCGAUGGACACGUAGGAACUUGCUGGUUGCAUAAACAACACAGCUUUAUAUAGUGGGCAUGGGGAGAUGUUUCUUAGAGUGCUUCGCAGAGGGUCUGCUGCAGUCACCCAGCUGACCUUUUUCGACCUCUCAGUUUGUUCUGCAGACGAACCUCCAGGUCGGACCAUCAAAAUACACGACAAAAUGGCGUCACGAACACAGGCCUGAGGAGCCGUUUCCAGAACCAACAUUUGUCCGGACUGGCCCGGACGCACGACCGUCGUCAUCAGUGAAGGUAAAUAGCGCUUAAAGCUUUUACGUGACGAUUCUCUGUGUUCGAGACAGUGUGAGCAAAUGUUGGUAAGAUUAGAGAAAUCUGAUCAUUAAAUUCUGAUUUGGCUGCUUUAAGUAAAUUAUCUGUGUGGGAGAGACAAAGAGAGGCGGUGCAGAAUUUACCUGUGCUUACUUAUACUGCUGUAAAUAGCUGCUUUGCAUAACCAACUGCUGUGUGUGUAUGUGCUAUCUUGCGCUUGGGAAAAAAUGACAUGGCCUAUUGACCUCUAGAAGUUACGUAGGUUAACUUGAGGCAGGCGACGUUUGGGAAAUCUAAAGUAUGGGCGUUGUAGUCUGCAUUUGGAUAAAAUAAAUUUAAGGCUGUGUAAGUUCUGUGUCGACGCUGGAAAAUUUGGUCCAGGUAUUGAGCGGGGUCACUGAACCAUACCUCGUUGAGCAGCUGUCAAAUUAAAGGGAAAGACGUACGGUACCGGCGUCGGUAGACAGUGCGGCCUCGGUGCAACGGGUUGUGAAAUUCGGUAAAUUUGACCUGCUCGAUAGAAUCGAAAUUUAUUAGGCACUGUAGGCUUGUGUAAAGUAUUGGGAAUCUACAUUAAGCUUGAAACGGAUCAAUCCAAGUGUAGAGCUUCCCAAGGUUUGUGAGGCCUGGUAACAUAGGGAUAACCGGUAAAAGCGCGUUGAGUUGAUUGCGUAUUGAACUGCAGUGUGUCGACGUGUUAGUAUUGCGCAAGUAUAGUUAAGUUGGGGUGAGUGUAUGUUUUAGUAUAUGUAAUGCAUUUAAGGAUAGUGUGAUAAUUGUUAAGUUGUUGUGGGGUUAAUAAUUAAUAGGUGUCGUGGUGAUAACAUUUUUUUGAGUUUGUGUCUGUGAAGUUAAAAAACCUUGAGUGUGUGUUAAUAAUUGACAGUGUGCGUUCCCUUUCCGUCCUUUGGAGCAGAGAGAGAGUGUGUGGCGGGGAGAUAAAGCCUCGCUGUUCAGUGUCUGUGUGUGUGUUUGUUUGUUUUUGAACAGUCUGGGGAGAGCCGUUGGGUGAGUGCUGUCUAGAUUAAACAUUUUUUGCAACAUUUUAACAUUUCAUUUUAACUAUCAUUUAUCAUUUUUGGUAAUUUUAAUAUUUUUGUGUGUCCAAUGUGGACAUUGCGGUAAUUUUUGUUCGAUGUAAUUUGUGAAGGUUAGAAUAACGUUCCGCACUGUGGUUGGGACUGGUGGAGCAGAUCACAGAGAGUGUGCAGAUUGUGGCCGUUCUUCGAUUAAAAGAAAAAGGGGGAAGCAGUGCUAACUGCUAAAUUGGUUUGGACUUCCAAAUUGGGCCCGGAGACUAGCUUUGUUCCUCUUCGAGUGUUCACUUCUCCUAUCUGUGUGUAUGUGUCACAGCUGUUAAGAGCAUUAGGCUCGAGAGUGUGUGUGUUUCAGUAUACAGGGCUAUAGGCUCUGGUGUGUGUGUGUGUGAAAGUGUGUGCAAGUGAGAAAAAAAGGUGACGUAUCACAUUAAUCAUUUUUGAGUUAUAGAGGGGUGCAGAGAUAAAGUCGCUGGAGAAUAAGGUAAAUGAAAAAUUAAGUAAAUAAAGAAUUAAUAGAAUAAAAUAAAGUAAUAAAAAAAAAAAAAA